ensembl:lncRNA
CAUCACUUUAGAUCCACUGGAUCUAAACUUAAAAGCCUUUUCGAUUCAUCUCGCGUCAAGAUGUUGGCGAGGCGGCUCCCAGCUACGGGCGAGCCGGCGGCGGCGGUCCGCUUACGUUGGUGUUGAGCGGGUCCUGCAGCUUGGCGACGGGGCUGGACACGGCCACGGCGGCCGAGCACGGCGGCAGGCUGAAGUCAGAGUCCUUGGCGCUCACGCCGAACUCGAUGGGCGGGCCGGGCAGCCCCGGGUCGCCGUGGAGGUCCACGCCGUUGACGGGCGCGCUGAUGGGCCCGCCCACGCCCUCCAGCCGCUCCGACGCCUCGGGGCCCUUGCCGCGGUGCUUCAGGGAGCGCUCGUUGCCGAUGGGGCCGGGCUUGUGCUGCUCCUUGCUCUGCUCCGGCCCGGCGUCCGAGUCCUGGAGGGCACCAGGCCACACGGGAGUCCGUUUAGAGGGCCGUUCAUCACACAGAGGCGCUCUACACGGCUCUACUACCACUGUCUGAGGUGCGUUAUACAGGACGGCGGUGAGUCAGGGGUUAGACAAGAAGAAGGUGGCAGACACAAUACAUGUAAAGCACAAAAUGGAACAAUUCACGGUGGGAGAUAUUCUGUAGGUAAUCAACAGAUGCUAAUGCUGUACCAAUGUCAGCGCAAUCAUGCCAGUGAUUACGAGCGCAGACCGUUUUGAGUGCCUGCGAUGCAUUGUGUGGAAUUAAAACCAAUGCACGUCAUCAAGACAGGCCUACGUCUGGAAAAGGCAUGGGAAAUGAGCUGUAGGUUCAGCUCAGAGUUCUGGGUUUUGUUGUGGGUGCUUUAGGUGUAGCUCAGAGUUCUGGGUUAUGUUGUGGGUGCUUUAGGUUUAGCUCAGAGUUCUGGGUUAUGUUGUGGGUGCUUUAGGGGUAGCUCAGAGUUCUGGGUUAUGUUGUGGGUGCUUUAGGUGUAGCUCAGAGUUCU